rfam:Cellvibrio sp. BR genomic scaffold O59_Scaffold6, whole genome shotgun sequence.
CAACCCACCUGUAAAUAUGCACGGGCGGGCUGUAAUUAAAUUGCAUAUUAAUUGAGGAAAACAUCAUGGCACUGAGUGCUUCUGAAAAAGCUGCAAUCGUUAAAGAGUACCAACAAGCAGAA